rnacentral:rRNA from 1 species
AUACAUGCAAGUCGAGCGGAUCUCUUCGGAGGUCAGCGGCGGACGGGUGAGUAACACGUGGGCAACCUGCCUGUAAGACUGGGAUAACUCCGGGAAACCGGAGCUAAUACCGGAUAUUAUUUCAAACCGCAUGGUUUGACAUUCAAAGACGGUUUCGGCUGUCACUUACAGAUGGGCCCGCGGCGCAUUAGCUAGUUGGUGAGGUAAUGGCUCACCAAGGCAACGAUGCGUAGCCGACCUGAGAGGGUGAUCGGCCACACUGGGACUGAGACACGGCCCAGACUCCUACGGGAGGCAGCAGUAGGGAAUCUUCCGCAAUGGACGAAAGUCUGACGGAGCAACGCCGCGUGAGUGAUGAAGGUUUUCGGAUCGUAAAACUCUGUUGUCAGGGAAGAACAAGUGCCGGAGUAACUGCCGGCACCUUGACGGUACCUGACCAGAAAGCCACGGCUAACUACGUGCCAGCAGCCGCGGUAAUACGUAGGUGGCAAGCGUUGUCCGGAAUUAUUGGGCGUAAAGCGCGCGCAGGCGGUUUCUUAAGUCUGAUGUGAAAGCCCCCGGCUCACCGGGGAGGGUCAUUGGAAACUGGGAAACUUGAGUGCAGAGAGGAGAGU